UUGCAGGAAGCGAAAAAAUUGCAAACGGUUUCGGCCCGUUAUUUGAUGGUGAGAGUCCGUCCCUGUAAG
rnacentral:tRNA from 1 species